GGGCGCGAGGCGCGGUGCGCGCGAUGCGACGGUACCUCAGGGCGGGCCCGGCUGGAGGUCACACUGGUGCGUCAUUUGUGACUCUCCUCAGCGCUCUUUUUUGGGAUGUCCCCUUUAAGAUCCCAAUGGGAUUGGAAUUCCUUUGUCUUAAGGAGCUGUGGUUUCCAGUGCGAGGUCACUUGCAAAGGGGAAAAGGACUUCCAAGCUUGGACAUAAGCAGAAUUUGUGGUCUUUCUGCCUUCAACAGACUGAAGAAAGAAGUUAACAGCAGUCAAACUUGCUACCCAUAUGGUGGAAACAUCAGGAUUACUGAAUCCAUAGCAAACUCUCGGCUGUAUGGCUGCUACAGGGCCCAUCACCAUGGUAUCCUAGCACCAGCGAGCAUAAUGCCGAUAUCCAUUCAAUAUGAACUGCUGAUGCACAACUCUUUUUAAUAUUAACACAGCUUCGUUAUGUUACUUACCUUUCAUUUCUCUAAUAUCAUACAUUUCUGCUUAAAAAAAACAAAAGGCUUGAAGCUAGGACCAAGCUGUAGAUGGAACCGUUUCUGGAUGGACAAAUGGAAUUAAGCAUCCCAAUGGACUGGGCCUGCCUGUUUCUUGUAGCUGCACCUUAGGGUGGUGUUGAUGCACUUGAGAUGACUUUAUAAAAAAGAAAAACCCAUUGCUGUUUAGCUCCAAUGAGGCAAAGUGCCAUGGGUGGCUGUCUUGUGGCUUCAGAUUAACUUUCCUACAUGCUGGGCAAUCCUGAGUCUGUGCAGCGUGUGACAGAUUGCUGCUGUUAUGAGAGACAUUGGUGUACCGCGCAGAGAGAGGUGGUCAGCGAGCCUCUUGCACAGCAGUGGAACCAGCUGAGCCCAGUGCUGUCCGGCUCCAGUGCCGCUCACUGUCCCACUUCCAGCCCUGUUGAUAGCAGAACAGUUCAGUCAUUAGUAGGAAAAUGAAGCAUUCAGGGGCCAUAAAUGAUGGGUGUGUAGAAGAUAAUGCUGGAAGAGGUUGUGAUCCAGCUUUCACUUUUUUUCAACAUAACAGAAAUUGUUUAAGGUAAAUGUCUCUGUGCCAGAUGUGUUUACUAUGUUCAGUGUUUUUCUUAUUACCUGUAUUUAUCUCCUGCUAAAUCAUUACGCAAAUAAUUCUGAAAUAAAUCCACAGAACUAGAAUAUGAAUGAAAACAAGGAUGCAUUUAUUCUUCUGGCAAGUAUAAGUUCAGAG
rnacentral:lncRNA from 1 species